rnacentral:lncRNA from 1 species
GUCGAAACUCACGAUAGAGGGACUGUAUCAUACAUUAACUACACCUAGAGGUUCAUCACUUUUUAUUCUGCUGGAUUGCCACUACAUACUACUAGGUGUCACUGAUGGAUUGUGAGACCCACGAGCAUCAUCUUGAUGAUCGAUGAUCCUUGAUGGACAAAAUUGGAAUGGUUCAACCCAUUGAAAGGAGUUUUGAUGAUAUUGUGAUAGAGA